rnacentral:lncRNA from 1 species
GACAAAGUAAAAUACACAAUACUAAUGAGAGUCAUAGAUUUUGGGAUGUGAGUCAACCUCUCUAACCGUCUAUGAUACCCUAACAACCAUCCUCUCCUUGCCUACAUCACCAUUGAUCUUCCUUCUUUUCCAUCUGGUAAUCACUACUCGUCAGAACGAAAUAGAGAUGCAAUAGCUACAUUCCCAUAAAGAAAUGCAAGGGUUUCUCUAAAAGGGGAUGCUUUCUAAAAUCUCCUUGGUAAUUGCUUGAGGAGGCACUGUUGCAUUGUUUCUCUCCCUUAAAAGCUCACUUCUCUCUUUUUU